rnacentral:rRNA from 1 species
UAUUCUGGUGUCCUAGGCGUAGAGAAACCAAAACUUGGUGGUGAAACUCUACUGCGGUGACGAUACUGUAGGGGAGGUCCCGCGGAAAAAUAGCUCGACGCCAGAA